CGAGAGUAGUACUAGGAUGGGU
rnacentral:snRNA from 1 species